rnacentral:rRNA from 1 species
UUGGGAAUCUUCCGCAAUGGGCGAAAGCCUGACGGAGCAACGCCGCGUGAGUGAUGAAGGUCUUCGGAUCGUAAAACUCUGUUAUUAGGGAAGAACAAAUGUGUAAGUAACUAUGCACGUCUUGACGGUACCUAAUCAGAAAGCCACGGCUAACUACGUGCCAGCAGCCGCGGUAAUACGUAGGUGGCAAGCGUUAUCCGGAAUUAUUGGGCGUAAAGCGCGCGUAGGCGGUUUUUUAAGUCUGAUGUGAAAGCCCACGGCUCAACCGUGGAGGGUCAUUGGAAACUGGAAAACUUGAGUGCAGAAGAGGAAAGUGGAAUUCCAUGUGUAGCGGUGAAAUGCGCAGAGAUAUGGAGGAACACCAGUGGCGAAGGCGACUUUCUGGUCUGUAACUGACGCUGAUGUGCGAAAGCGUGGGGAUCAAACAGG